GAUGAACGCUGGCGGCGUGCCUAAUACAUGCAAGUCGAACGCAUAGCGAAAGGUGCUUGCACCUUUCAAGUGAGUGGCGAACGGGUGAGUAACGCGUGGACAACCUGCCUCAAGGCUGGGGAUAACAUUUGGAAACAGAUGCUAAUACCGAAUAAAACUUAGUGUCGCAUGACACAAAGUUAAAAGGCGCUUCGGCGUCACCUAGAGAUGGAUCCGCGGUGCAUUAGUUAGUUGGUGGGGUAAAGGCCUACCAAGACAAUGAUGCAUAGCCGAGUUGAGAGACUGAUCGGCCACAUUGGGACUGAGACACGGCCCAAACUCCUACGGGAGGCUGCAGUAGGGAAUCUUCCACAAUGGGCGAAAGCCUGAUGGAGCAACGCCGCGUGUGUGAUGAAGGCUUUCGGGUCGUAAAGCACUGUUGUAUGGGAAGAACAGCUAGAAUAGGAAAUGAUUUUAGUUUGACGGUACCAUACCAGAAAGGGACGGCUAAAUACGUG
rnacentral:rRNA from 1 species